rnacentral:rRNA from 1 species
GAUGAACGCUGGCGGCGUGCCUAAUACAUGCAAGUCGAGCGAACAGACGAGGAGCUUGCUCCUCUGACGUUAGCGGCGGACGGGUGAGUAACACGUGGAUAACCUACCUAUAAGACUGGGAUAACUUCGGGAAACCGGAGCUAAUACCGGAUAAUAUAUUGAACCGCAUGGUUCAAUAGUGAAAGACGGUUUUGCUGUCACUUAUAGAUGGAUCCGCGCCGCAUUAGCUAGUUGGUAAGGUAACGGCUUACCAAGGCAACGAUGCGUAGCCGACCUGAGAGGGUGAUCGGCCACACUGGAACUGAGAUACGGCCCAGACUCCUACGGGAGGCAGCAGUGGGGAAUAUUGCACAAUGGGCGCAAGCCUGAUGCAGCGACGCCGCGUGGGGGAUGACGGCCUUCGGGUUGUAAACUCCUUUCGCUAGGGACGAAGCUUUUUGUGACGGUACCUAGAUAAGAAGCACCGGCUAACUACGUGCCAGCAGCCGCGGUAAUACGUAGGGUGCGAGCGUUGUCCGGAAUUACUGGGCGUAAAGGGCUCGUAGGUGGUUUGUCGCGUCGUCUGUGAAAUUCCGGGGCUUAACUCCGGGCGUGCAGGCGAUACGGGCAUAACUUGAGUACUGUAGGGGUAACUGGAAUUCCUGGUGUAGCGGUGAAAUGCGCAGAUAUCAGGAGGAACACCGAUGGCGAAGGCAGGUUACUGGGCAGUUACUGACGCUGAGGAGCGAAAGCAUGGGUAGCGAACAGGAUUAGAUACCCUGGUAGUCCAUGCCGUAAACGGUGGGCGCUAGGUGUGAGGGUCUUUUCACGACUUUCGUGCCGUAGCUAACGCAUUAAGCGCCCCGCCUGGGGAGUACGGCCGCAAGGCUAAAACUCAAAGGAAUUGACGGGGGCCCGCACGAGCGGCGGAGCAUGUGGAUUAAUUCGAUGCAACGCGAAGAACCUUACCUGGGCUUGACAUACACCAGAUCGCUGCAGAGAUGUAGUUUCCCUUUGUGGCUGGUGUACAGGUGGUGCAUGGUUGUCGUCAGCUCGUGUCGUGAGAUGUUGGGUUAAGUCCCGCAACGAGCGCAACCCUUGUCUUAUGUUGCCAGCAUUUGGUUGGGGACUCAUGAGAGACUGCCGGGGUCAACUCGGAGGAAGGUGGGGAUGACGUCAAAUCAUCAUGCCCCUUAUGUCCAGGGCUUCACACAUGCUACAAUGGUCGGUACAACGCGCAGCGACACUGUGAGGUGGAGCGAAUCGCUGAAAGCCGGCCUUAGUUCGGAUUGGGGUCUGCAACUCGACCCCAUGAAGUCGGAGUCGCUAGUAAUCGCAGGUCAGCAAUGCUGCGGUGAAUACGUUCCCGGGCCU